rnacentral:rRNA from 1 species
GAUGAACGCUGACAGAAUGCUUAACACAUGCAAGUCAACUUGAAUUUGGGUUUUUAACUUAGGUUUGGGUGGCGGGCGGGUGAGUAACGCGUAAAGAACUUGCCUCACAGCCAGGGACAACAUUUGGAAACGAAUGCUAAUACCUAAUAUUAUGAUAAUAGGGCAUCCUAUAAUUAUGAAAGCUAUAAGCGCUGUGAGAGAGCUUUGCGUCCCAUUAGCUAGUUGGAGAGGUAACGGCUCACCAAGGCGAUGAUGGGUAGCCGGCCUGAGAGGGUGAUCGGCCACAAGGGGACUGAGACACGGCCCUUACUCCUACGGGAGGCAGCAGUGGGGAAUAUUGGACAAUGGACCGAGAGUCUGAUCCAGCAAUUCUGUGUGCAAGAUGAAGUUUUUCGGAAUGUAAAGUGCUUUCAGUUGGGAAGAAACAAAUGACGGUACCAACAGAAGAAGUGACGGCUAAAUACGUG